rnacentral:tRNA from 1 species
GGGGCUGUAGCUCAGUUGGGAGAGCACCUGCCUUGCAAGCAGGGGGUCGAGGGUUCGGGUCCCUUCAGCUCCA